GGAUCCAGACUUUGAUUCUGGCUCAGGAUGAACGCUAGCUACAGGCUUAACACAUGCAAGUCGAGGGGCAGCAUGGUCUUAGCUUGCUAAGACUGAUGGCGACCGGCGCACGGGUGAGUAACACGUAUCCAACCUGCCGUCUACUCUUGGACAGCCUUCUGAAAGGAAGAUUAAUACAAGAUGGCAUCAUGAGUCCGCAUGUUCACAUGAUUAAAGGUAUUCCGGUAGACGAUGGGGAUGCGUACCAUUAGAUAGUAGGCGGGGUAACGGCCCACCUAGUCUUCGAUGGAUAGGGGUUCUGAGAGGAAGGUCCCCCACAUUGGAACUGAGACACGGUCCAAACUCCUACGGGAGGCAGCAGUGAGGAAUAUUGGUCAAUGGGCGAGAGCCUGAACCAGCCAAGUAGCGUGAAGGAUGACUGCCCUAUGGGUUGUAAACUUCUUUUAUAAAGGAAUAAAGUCGGGUAUGCAUACCCGUUUGCAUGUACUUUAUGAAUAAGGAUCGGCUAACUCCGUGCCAGCAGCCGCGGUAAUACGGAGGAUCCGAGCGUUAUCCGGAUUUAUUGGGUUUAAAGGGAGCGUAGAUGGAUGUUUAAGUCAGUUGUGAAAGUUUGCGGCUCAACCGUAAGAUUGCAGUUGAUACUGGAUAUCUUGAGUGCAGUUGAGGCAGGCGGAAUUCGUGGUGUAGCGGUGAAAUGCUUAGAUAUCACGAAGAACUCCGAUUGCGAAGGCAGCCUGCUAAGCUGCAACUGACAUUGAGGCUCGAAAGUGUGGGUAUCAAACAGGAUUAGAUACCCUGGUAGUCCACACGGUAAACGAUGAAUACUCGCUGUUUGCGAUAUACGGCAAGCGGCCAAGCGAAAGCGUUAAGUAUUCCACCUGGGGAGUACGCCGGCAACGGUGCAACUCAAAGGAAUUGACGG
rnacentral:rRNA from 1 species